AGAACGAUUUGAAAUGAAACACUUAUCAAUUGUUGGAGGAUACUUUGUGUUACUUCUGAUCUUUGCAAGUGUUCUGGAAGAACAUGGAGUGACAGCACAACCACGACACAGUGUGAAGUUACCCCAUUGCCAAUUAUUCUGCAAACUACCACUAUCAACGUCUGGAUGUAACACGUGUUGUAGAAGUGCUGUUCAAAUAUACGAUAUCGGAGAGUGUCAUUCUAACGCCUGUCAUUGUUGGGUUUGGUUACCCUAGAUAUCAGUAUAUAUAAUAAUCAAGGCGUGACACUAAUAAAACACAGUUGAUUUUUGUUAGUGUCCGAAACUUUUUUGCCGAUUGAUCAUCAGACCGCCCUAAGUCGAAUAUUGGAAAACAUGGAUUUAUAAGGACCGAAAACGUUUAAGGUGUAGAUAGUUGAAUGUUCAAAUAUAUUAUAAGAAGAAGCUAUAUGUUCCCCAGCGAAACA